rnacentral:rRNA from 1 species
GACGAACCGUGCGAACGUUGUUCGGAAUCACUGGGCUUAAAGGGCGCGUAGGCGGCCCGCCGCGUCCGGGGUGAAAUCCUCCCGCUCAACGGGAGAACGGCCUCGGAUACGGGCGGGCUGGAGGCGGGUAGGGGCGGGCGGAACUGUGGGUGGAGCGGUGAAAUGCGUUGAUAUCCACAGGAACUCCGGUGGCGAAGGCGGCUCUCUGGGACGGUACUGACGCUGAGACGCGAAAGCGUGGGGAGCGAACAGG